rnacentral:tRNA from 1 species
GGGGUGUAGCUCAGCUGGGAGAGCACCUGCUUUGCAAGCAGGGGGUCAUCGGUUCGAUUCCGUUCAUCUCC